rnacentral:tRNA from 1 species
AAGAUUUUAAGUUAAAUACAAAACUAGAAGCCUUCAAAGCUUAAAAUAAAAAUAUUUUAAAUCUUA